UGUGGCAGGGAGGGAACACCUCCACAUCUCCACGGUGACAGAUUCCCAUGAAAGCAGGAGAGCAACACAGAAGACGAGCUUCUUUGUCCUAAUCUGAGAUGAACAGAGGCGGGAAGUUUUAACUCCCGCUGUAAUGAGUGCGCAGUGAUGCUGCGUCGCCACAGAGAGCGGAUCAAAGUCAGUGGAGGCUCGUCAGGUGCAAUGCUGCAAGCAUUCCUCUGUUUCCUAGACAAUGGGAUUAUGGGAUAUAGACAGUGAGAUACAUGGUGUGGAUAUGGAUGUAGGAAAUGACCGAGCUCUCAUUAGCGAGCGGAGGAGACGGAGGCAACGAGUCCCACAAGGAAACGAAAUCCAAGGGGGAAUUUAUUAGAAGGUGGAUAAAGUAACUGUGAAAGCUUUUCCUCAUCUCAAACACUGACAUACUGGAUAUACUGGAUAUACUCUACUCUACUCUAAUGUACUGUAAUCUACAGUAUUAUACUCUAAUGUACUGUAUAGUACUUUACUGUAUUGCACUCUACUGUACGACACUGCAAUCUACUACUCUAUUGCACUGUACUAUCUUUACUGUAUUCUAAUGUACUGUACUCUACUGUACAAUACUAAAAUCUACUGUAAUCUAGAAAACUACA